rnacentral:rRNA from 1 species
CCUACGGGUGGCAGCAGUGGGGAAUAUUGGACAAUGGGGGCAACCCUGAUCCAGCCAUGCCGCGUGUGUGAAGAAGGCCCUCGGGUUGUAAAGCACUUUCAGUGAGGAAGAACGCCUGGUGGUUAAUACCCAUCAGGAAAGACAUCACUCACAGAAGAAGCACCGGCUAACUCCGUGCCAGCAGCCGCGGUAAUACGGAGGGUGCGAGCGUUAAUCGGAAUUACUGGGGCGUAAAGCGCGCGUAGGUGGCUUGAUAAGCCGGUUGUGAAAGCCCCGGGCUCAACCUGGGAACGGCAUCCGGAACUGUCAAGCUAGAGUGCAGGAGAGGAAGGUAGAAUUCCCGGUGUAGCGGUGAAAUGCGUAGAGAUCGGGAGGAAUACCAGUGGCGAAGGCGGCCUUCUGGACUGACACUGACACUGAGGUGCGAAAGCGUGGGUAGCAAACAGGAUUAGAUACCCCAGUAGUC